UAGGGAAGCUUCGGCAAUGGACGAAAGUCUGACCGAGCAACGCCGCGCGAGUGAAGAAGGUUUUCGGAUCGUAAAACUCUGUUGUUAGAGAAGAACAAGGACGUUAGUAACUGAACGUCCCCUGACGGUAUCUAACCAGAAAGCCACGGCUAACUACGUGCCAGCAGCCGCGGUAAUACGUAGGUGGCAAGCGUUGUCCGGAUUUAUUGGGCGUAAAGCGAGCGCAGGCGGUUUCUUAAGUCUGAUGUGAAAGCCCCCGGCUCAACCGGGGAGGGUGAUUGGAAACUGGGAGACUUGAGUGCAGAAGAGGAGAGUGGAAUUCCAUGUGUAGCGGUGAAAUGCGUAGAUAUAUGGAGGAACACCAGUGGCGAAGGCGGCUCUCUGGUCUGUAACUGACGCUGAGGCUCGAAAGCGUGGGGAGCAAACAGG
rnacentral:rRNA from 1 species